GAAUGAGGAUUGCUGGCCAACGAUAUUCAUCGUCUCAAGAUGCGUUGGCUGCUGGCUGUGCCCUGCGUUCUGGCAGUUAUGAUUCCCGACAGCUACUCACCAACCCUAAAUUUGUUGCUACCUUAGAUGGGGCUUGUGCCAGGUAGCAGAUCGAACAUAAAUGAUUGUGAGAGCUUAA
rnacentral:sRNA from 1 species